rnacentral:rRNA from 1 species
AGCUAACCUGCCCUCGAGCCCGUAAUAUCGUCGGGAAACUGACGUUAAUGACGGAUAGAUGAUUUUUUCUGGAAUGAUUAAUCAUUGAAAGCUAGCGCGAGGAUGGGGCUGCGGCUGAUUAGGUAGUUGGCGGGGUAAAUGCCCACCAAGCCAAUGAUCAGUAAGGGCUCUUAGCGGAGAAGCCCUGAGAGGGAAUCUGAGACACUAUUCCCAGCCCUACGGGGUGCAGCAGUCGGGAAAAUUCUGCAAUGUACGAAAGUGUGACAGAGCAAGCCAAAGUGAUUUUCUUUUAGAAAAUCUUUUGUGAAAUGUAAAAAGUUUCACGAAUAAGGACCGGGAGAGACUGGUGCCAGCCGCCGCGGUAAUCCCAGCGGUCCAAGUCGCAGCCACAUUUGUUGGGUCUAAAACAUUCGUAGCUUGCCUUGCAAGUCUUUUGUGAAAUCGGGACUCUUAAGGUUCCGUCGGGCAAAAGAUACUGCAUGGCUAUGAGACCGGGAGAUGUAAAGAGUACAGAUCGGGUAGUGGUUAAAUACGUUGAUCCUUUCUGGACUAACGACAGCGGAGGCACUUUACAAGCACGGAUCUGACAGUGAGGAAUGAAGGCUAGGGGCGCAAAGUGGAUUAGAUACCCAUGUAGUCCUAGCAGUAAACACUGCACACUAAACAUUGGUGCCUAUUCGAGAGGCAUCAGUGCUGUAGGGAAGCCGGAGAGUGUGCUACCUGGGAAGUAUAGACGCAAGUCCGAAACUUAA